CUGUUGUUUUAGGUAUUAUAUUUUCAUUUUCUUUUUUAUCAAGAGUAUUUAUUUCUGUGUGGGUAUUUUCUAAGUUUUCUUCAUUAAUUUUUUGUUCUUCAUUGAUUUCUAAAUUUUUUGUAUUUGUUAAUAUUUCUGUGUAUGUUUCACUAUCUUCGGACUCAUAAUUAUCUGUCUCUUCAAUAUCUAUAUUAUUUAUUUCUAAUUCUUCGUUUUUUAUUUCUAAUUUUUCCUUAAAUUGAUUUAUCUCAUUUAGUAAUUUCUGUUCUCUAUCUUUUUCUUCUUUUUCUUUUUGUCUUUGUUCAUACAGUUCUUUUAACAUUUGUAAUUCUUUU
rnacentral:lncRNA from 1 species